rnacentral:misc_RNA from 1 species
CGGCAGCGCAUCAUUGCGCUCAAACACAGCUCUACUCCUCUCUUUCUCUCGCUACAUGAAGCUGAGAAGCUGCUGUGCACGGACCCAUCCCUACACACGUACCCUUGCGUUCACAGGGAGGCUGACCGACGCAGCUGCGCCUAGCAAGAAAGGGGUGAGAGUGGGGGAAGGGGGACAUGGCAAUGCCAUUCACUCGUGCGCUGCGGCCACUGACAGGCUUUCGCUCGCUCUCUCUGUCACUCUACAACUCUGACCACUCCCAAACCUCUCUUCCCUUAUCAUCUCCUCUUUUGACGAGCUCCUCCGGUACUCUCCCAUCUCGAGUGCGACGAGAGCGAGAGCGAGAUGGGGGGAGGAGACUGCCGCCACUUCUCGGCUCCCCCUUGCCUCCAGUUGUCUUUGACUCUCACCCUUCUCCCGUCGUUGGUCUGCUGCCGCCUUCUCUCUCCUAGCCCCGUGACGCUGAUAACCGGCCUGAAGUAUAAUUCCCUUUGUAGCGCGCCUCUCGUCUUCCCCGCCUCUGCUAUCUUGCAAUUUCGCUGAUCUUCAUAUGCUGUGUUUAUUUCCGUCUCUCCCUCGCCCGGAUGACGGAUGGGAGGGGGGGCACACACCUCCGUGCGUGGCGUCUCACGGUCCCGUACCUCCCCCUCCCCCACUCUGUGGCGAAAGUCAGGCAGCCCCCCACCCCUACCCCUGCCAGUGCCGAGCCGCUUCCGGUGGUGACAGGGUCAGGUGCCUACCCCACAGGGGAGGCCAGCGCGACUCCUGUCCGCAGCCAGGCCCUGGACGGCGUGCUGCUGGAGCGGCCGGCGACUGUGAAGGCGCUUGUGCCGUCCGCGCGAUGGGCCGAGCGUCAGCGCGGCUCGCGCGCACGCCACCCGGUGCUCGCUGCCUGCUGGCGGGGAGCCUUUAUGCGACCCCGAGGGGGUGCACCCGGUGGCGGCGGGCGGGGCGCGGGUGGUGUGCCGACGUUGAGGCGGAGGCCGCGCCCCGGCGACUGUGGCGGCGCAUUGCUGGGAGGCGUGUGUGUCCCGCUGCUUCGCGCCGCGCGAUGACGGUCCUGUGCGGCCGGGCCGGGGGCCAGAGUGGUGGUGGGGGUGGCUGGGCUCAUGCUCCAUGGCGGCGAAUGACCGCGCUGAAGGAAAAAAGGAAAACCGUCGGUCUUCACUGUGACUUGUGGGUGUCGUGGGAGGCUCGUUUGCGGACUUGUUUCGGGCGCGUCCUCCAGCCAACCUUCACCCCCGUUUCUCUUUCGGGGUGCGUCAGCGUGCGCCUUGGCUUGCUCUGUCUUUCGCAUUUUACGGUGAUGCAUCGUGUGGAGCGACGGGCGCCGUUUCUUUACUUUUUCUACCCAUCUCCCAAUCGCUCGCGCUCUGUGAAG